rnacentral:rRNA from 1 species
UACGAAGGGGGCUAGCGUUGUUCGGAUUUACUGGGCGUAAAGCGCACGUAGGCGGAUUGUUAAGUGAGAGGUGAAAUCCCGGAGCUCAACUCCGGAACUGCCUUUCAUACUGGCAAUCUAGAGUCCGGAAGAGGUGAGUGGAACUCCUAGUGUAGAGGUGGAAUUCGUAGAUAUUAGGAAGAACACCAGUGGCGAAGGCGGCUCACUGGUCCGGUACUGACGCUGAGGUGCGAAAGCGUGGGGAGCAAAGCAGG